rnacentral:sRNA from 1 species
AAAGGUAAGCUUCGAGAGAAAUCUCCUGGCGCACAAAGUCACGGGUUUAUAAUCUUUGAUCAGAUCUCCGAUUUAAUCUCAGGUUAUCGACAGCCGGGCUACCGAA